CAGUCGCCGCGGUAAUACGAAGGGGGCUAGCGUUGUUCGGAAUUACUGGGCGUAAAGGGCGCGUAGGCGGCCAUUCAAGUUAGAUGUGAAAGCCCUGGGCUCAACCUAGGAAUUGCAUUUGAUACUGUUUGGCUUGAGUUCGGGAGAGGUGAGUGGAAUUCCCAGUGUAGAGGUGAAAUUCGUAGAUAUUGGGAAGAACACCAGUGGCGAAGGCGGCUCUCUGGACUGUAACUGACGCUGAGGCGCGGAAGCGUGGGGAGCGAACAGGAUUAGAUACCCGUGUAGUCCCUGUCUCUUAUAA
rnacentral:rRNA from 1 species